ACUUAAAUUGAAGAGUUUGAUCAUGGCUCAGAUUGAACGCUGGCGGCAGGCCUAACACAUGCAAGUCGAGCGGUAGCACAGAGAGCUUGCUCUCGGGUGACGAGCGGCGGACGGGUGAGUAAUGUCUGGGAAACUGCCUGAUGGAGGGGGAUAACUACUGGAAACGGUAGCUAAUACCGCAUAAUGUCGCAAGACCAA
rnacentral:rRNA from 1 species